rnacentral:rRNA from 1 species
AGAGUUUGAUCAUGGCUCAGAUUGAACGCUGGCGGCAUGCUUUACACAUGCAAGUCGAACGGUAACAGGCCUUCGGGCGCUGACGAGUGGCGAACGGGUGAGUAAUGCAUCGGAACGUGCCCAGUCGUGGGGGAUAACUACUCGAAAGAGUGGCUAAUACCGCAUACGAUCUGCGGAUGAAAGCGGGGGACCUUCGGGCCUCGCGCGAUUGGAGCGGCCGAUGUCAGAUUAGGUAGUUGGUGGGGUAAAGGCCUACCAAGGCGACGAUCCGUAGCGGGUCUGAGAGGACGGCCCGCCACACUGGGACUGAGACACGGCCCAGACUCCUACGGGAGGCAGCAGUGGGGAAUUUUGGACAAUGGGGGCAACCCUGAUCCAGCCAUGCCGCGUGAGUGAAGAAGGCCUUCGGGUUGUAAAGCUCUUUCGGCCGGGAAGAAAUCGCGCCAGCUAAUACCUGGUGUGGAUGACGGUACCGGAAGAAGAAGCACCGGCUAACUACGUGCCAGCCGCCGCGGUAAUUC